UCCCGGCAUGAUUGACAGCUCCGUGGCCGAAGUUGCUGCAGACUGUUCUAAUCUAUCUCUUUCCAGACAGCUAUAAUAAAUUACAACUUCAAUUUACAUCCAUGCAAAUAAUUUCCUACCUGAAUUUUUAUUUCAGCUGAAAACUUUUAAAUAUGUUUUAAACAGUCCCCGAGUUCAUGCAACAUAAAUUAGUAAGUAGGAGUGGGAUGUUCAGUCACUUCGUCUUUCUACCAAAGUGGAUGACUUCACAGUUCUGCUUCGAUUUCACCGAGAUCAGGACUGUAACACCUGGUUGUGGACACCCCACCAGGGAAAGUAAAGCUCACUGGUGACCUUCCUGCUCCAAACCAGCAUCUGCAGGCUCCAGCUCUCCUGAUGAGACUUGGGACUUGAAUGAUCAUUCUUCUGCUGCAGUGUUGGAGCACCCGUUCUUGAGACAUCCACAUAAAACAGAAGAACCUCAAAGGAAUGAAAGAGAGGAAAAUUAUAAGACCCCAAAGCCCCCUCUCUCUCCACCCCCAUGCAAUCAGCAACAAGCAUCAAUGAAUCAACUUCUCCCCACCUCUUUCAGCAAAAAGCGUCAGCAUCCACUACCUCCCAAGCAACAGCAAAGCACCCCAAAGGACACCAUGAUCUGCAAUCAACAAGAACUGUUUACCUGACAGUUGGACAUGCUACAGGCUCUCUCUCUCUCUCUCUCUCACUAAUAAGGGACAGUGAAAGGGGAGACUAACAGUCACUGUUGCAGUGUUACAGUCUGCUGUGUCGCUUUUUAUUCCAAGAUUCCCUACCUGACUGAGAGAAGGAGAGGGAGAGUAUGCAACUGCUGGACUGCAGAGACAUCCGUCCAUACAGGGCCAUCUCCUACAGCGCCUCAAUCGACAACACCAGCCUGAAAUUGGUCAUCCACAGGGUCGCGCUGGGCUGCACCCCAGAGGCACCAUCUUCCAAGCCGCAAUCAGGCCAUCAGACUGAUUAACUCAUGCUGAUUUGAGUGCAUUUCUAUGUUACGUUGACUGUUCUAUUCAUUAUAAAUUAUUAUAAAUUACCAUGAUUGCACAUUGCACAUUUAGACAGAGACGUAACAUAAAGAUUUUUACUCCUAAUGUAUGUGAAGGAUGGAAGAAAUAAAAUCAAUUCAUUUCAAUUGUUUCUUCUACCAAAGUGCAUGGCCAUUCAC